rnacentral:rRNA from 1 species
GAUGAACGCUGGCGGCGUGCCUAAUACAUGCAAGUCGAGCGAACGGACGAGAAGCUUGCUUCUCUGAUGUUAGCGGCGGACGGGUGAGUAACACGUGGAGAACAUACCUAUAAGACUGGGAUAACUUCGGGAAACCGGAGCUAAUACCGGCUAAUAUUUUGAACCGCAUGGUUCAAAAGUGAAAGACGGUCUUGCUGUCACUUAUAGAUGGAUCCGCGCUGCAUUAGCUAGUUGGUAAGGUAACGGCUUACCAAGGCAACGAUGCAUAGCCGACCUGAGAGGGUGAUCGGCCACACUGGAACUGAGACACGGUCCAGACUCCUACGGGAGGCAGCAGUAGGGAAUCUUCCGCAAUGGGCGAAAGCCUGACGGAGCAACGCCGCGUGAGUGAUGAAGGUCUUCGGAUCGUAAAACUCUGUUAUUAGGGAAGAACAUAUGUGUAAGUAACUGUGCACAUCUUGACGGUACCUAAUCAGAAAGCCCCGGCUAACUACGUG